rnacentral:rRNA from 1 species
CCUACGGGUGGCAGCAGUGAGGAAUAUUGGUCAAUGGGCGCGAGCCUGAACCAGCCAAGUAGCGUGAAGGAUGACUGCCCUACGGGUUGUAAACUUCUUUUAUAAAGGAAUAAAGUGAGGCAAGGGUGCCUUUUUGUAGGUACUUUAUGAAAAAGGACGGGCUAACGACGUGCCAGCAGCCGCGGUAAUACGGGGGAUCCGAGCGUUAUCCGGAUUGAUUGGGUUUAAAGGGAGCGUAGAUGGGUUGUUAAGUCAGUUGUGAAAUUUUGCGGCUCAACCGUAAAAUUGCAAUUGAUACUGGCAGCCUUGAGUACAGUUGAGGUAGGCGGAAUUCGUGGUGUAGCGGUGAAAUGCUUAGAUAUCACGAAGAACUCCGAUUGCGAAGGCAGCUUACUAAACUGCCACUGACAUUGAUGCUCGAAAGUGUGGGUAUCAAACAGGAGUAGAUACCCUUGUAGUC